rnacentral:rRNA from 1 species
GGAAUCUUAGACAAUGGGGGAAACCCUGAUCUAGCCAUGCCGCGUGAGCGAUGAAGGCCUUAGGGUUGUAAAGCUCUUUCGCUGGGGAAGAUAAUGACGGUACCCAGUAAAGAAGCCCCGGCUAACUCCGUGCCAGCAGCCGCGGUAAUACGGAGGGGGCUAGCGUUGUUCGGAAUUACUGGGCGUAAAGGGCACGUAGGCUGGCUGUUAAGUCGGGGGUGAAAUCCUGAGGCUCAACCUCAGAAUUGCCUCCGAUACUGGCGGUCUUGAGUGCGGGAGAGGUGAGUGGAAUUCCCAGUGUAGAGGUGAAAUUCGUAGAUAUUGGGAAGAACACCAGUGGCGAAGGCGGCUCACUGGCCCGCAACUGACGCUGAGGUGCGAAAGCGUGGGGAGCA